rnacentral:rRNA from 1 species
UACAUGCAAGUCGAGCGGGGUUAUNUAGAAGCUUGCUUCUACACAACCUAGCGGCGGACGGGUGAGUAACACGUAGGCAACCUGCCCACAAGACAGGGAUAACUACCGGAAACGGUAGCUAAUACCCGAUACAUCCUUUUCCUGCAUGGGAGAAGGAGGAAAGACGGAGCAAUCUGUCACUUGUGGAUGGGCCUGCGGCGCAUUAGCUAGUUGGUGGGGUAAAGGCCUACCAAGGCGACGAUGCGUAGCCGACCUGAGAGGGUGAUCGGCCACACUGGGACUGAGACACGGCCCAGACUCCUACGGGAGGCAGCAGUAGGGAAUCUUCCGCAAUGGGCGAAAGCCUGACGGAGCAACGCCGCGUGAGUGAUGAAGGUUUUCGGAUCGUAAAGCUCUGUUGCCAGGGAAGAACGUCUUGUAGAGUAACUGCUACAAGAGUGACGGUACCUGAGAAGAAAGCCCCGGCUAACUACGUGCCAGCAGCCGCGGUAAUACGUAGGGGGCAAGCGUUGUCCGGAAUUAUUGGGCGUAAAGCGCGCGCAGGCGGCUCUUUAAGUCUGGUGUUUAAUCCCGAGGCUCAACUUCGGGUCGCACUGGAAACUGGGGAGCUUGAGUGCAGAAGAGGAGAGUGGAAUUCCACGUGUAGCGGUGAAAUGCGUAGAGAUGUGGAGGAACACCAGUGGCGAAGGCGACUCUCUGGGCUGUAACUGACGCUGAGGCGCGAAAGCGUGGGGAGCAAACAGGAUUAGAUACC